ACGCACAGUGAACACCCAAGUGUGCUUUGUAGUUCCCUUGGUUUUGACUCUGUGCUAGAGUAAUGUCUGUUCUUUCCCUCUGCGUUGAAAGGACUGUUUUUUCCUUUUAAAUGUAUUCAGAAAGACAGCACAUAU
rnacentral:snoRNA from 2 species